rnacentral:piRNA from 1 species
CUGGACGAUGGCAGAGCCUGGAG